ACCCUCGUGAUGCGGUCCCUCCACUCCCGGGUCUGUGGUCCCCUUGCAGCCCCUGGCUCCUCCCCCCACCAGCCCCCUAGUAAUUACCCCACGGUGGGUGGUUCUGCCCCUUGCAUCCCUCCUGGCCCCAGAUCCCAGGCGACAGUUUCCUGUCCUAACACCGGCACUUUGCACUUUCCAUGACACAAGAGGAAGUCAGCUGAGCCGGCUGGGUUUUCCAUGCCGCUGCUUGGUGGAGGCCGGGUUGGGGAGGGGGGGUGAGGGGGAUGAGCCCCCUAGGCCAGUGUCAGAGCCUCAGCGGCCUCCGCGGGACAGACACAUGCCCUAUUGCCGGGGCUACACCAGCUCUGAGCUACUCUUGCUCUGCAUCCACACCUGGGAUACCUGCUAGCCCUCAGGUCGACACCCUCAACUUCUGGGGGCCCCAGGAGUGUAGGAUUCAGAGGCCAGUUCACUGAAGACCCAGCUCCACUGCCGGGAUGCCUUGCCUUUCCGAGGACAUGGUCCCUGUCUCAUGUCUCGUGGAACUGGUGCUUACGACCCUGCCGAGCAUUCUAGAAGCCCACAGCCACGGGACAGGACUCUAGUGGAAAAGCAGUGCCCUGCAUGUUUGCUUGUCUGUCUGUCUUUGAGACAGGGCCUCCUGUCACCCAGGCUGGUCUUGAAUUCACUAUGUAGCUCUGAAUGAUCUUGAUCCUCCUGCCUCAGCCUUCUGAAUUUUGAGAUGGCUGGUGUGUUUUCUAAAGCAAGAAUAUUUCUCUAUAGACUCAAGCAUACGUUCAGAGCGUGAGACUGGAUCCUGAUUGCAUCCUGUUAUUAGGCCUGUAGACCUCACCCUGUUUGUGCCUGCCCAUCAUUGCCCGGCCGCCCCUCUCCGGCUCCUCUGACAGGAAGUUGCUCUCGAGUCUUUAUAUUCAGUCAUUCACGGAGCACAUGUCAGUUGCUUCGCAAAAUGUCAAAGAUCCCCUUGAAAAUAAAUUGAUUUUUAUUUUA